rnacentral:other from 1 species
GCUUAAAUACAUAUCAUGUUAAGGUUCAAC